CCUUGACGGCCCCAGAGCGCCUUUGACCGCCCGAGAAAGCCCCGAGCCACAGUCACCGGAGCUUCCCACAGUCACCGGAGCUUCCCACAGUCACCGGAGCAGCUUUCCGCCGGCUCCUGCCAGUGCUCGGCCUUCGGGGGCAUCCUGCCAGCUCCUGAGGCGGCAGAGGCAUGAUUUUCAUGGGGAAAGGGCUCUCCAGAGGCCUCCCAGGGCACUGUGCAUGGCCUUGUGAAGCAGGAAUUAGGACUCUGGGUGGUUAAUGGAAGGAAUCAGCAUAUGGGAAUCUUCUCAGCAGCUGGUUCCUGCUGUUCCCAGGAAAGGGCAUGAGUGGUGCCAGGCUGGCAGUGUCACCGACCCCCUCACCCGGGAUGAUCUGUCCUGUGUUUGCACUGGAGGUGUCAUCAGAGCCUGGUCAGGAGGGGUGGAACCAGCACUUGGUGUCACGAAAGGUGAAAACACUCCCCCUGCAUUUUUUGUAGCUAAAGGUAAACUUCCUUUUUUUGAGAAAACGGAGUGGCAUGAGUUCACAGUGCAUGUGCUUGGGAGUUAUGGAAUGAGAGUAAAUAACUGUGUCCAGUUUUGGAGCAGGACAGGAAAAGCAUUUACAAGUCCUCCUCCAAAGCAGAAUGUGGUUAUGAUUGAAAAACUUCCCCAGACUUGAAUGCCAGAAUUAUUUGGGUUGGAAUAGACCUCCCAGAUCAUUGAGUCUACCCAGCCCAGAGCACUGAGUGCCAUGUUCAGGCAUUCCUUGGACAGCUCCAGGGAUGGGGAUUCCACCAUUCCUUGGACAGCUCCAGGGAUGGGGAUUCCACCACUAAUUAGCAAUUUAAUUUCAUGGAAUCAUGGAAAUCUCUGGAGUUGGAGGGGACCCACAAGGAUCAAUCCUCACUUUCCACCAGCUGAUCAUUCCAAGUUCCCUCAGCCUCUCCUCACAUGCCUUCUGCUCCAGACCCUUCAACAUCUUCAUAGCCCAAAAAUGCUCCUUGCAAAUCCAUGCUGGAUUUUUAAGGUUAAUGUGUUUGAAUUGGUCUUUUCCACGUGUUCAUGCCUCUCUUUGGCCUUGAAUGGAAGAGCUGCUGCAGGAUUUCACUGUAUGAAGCAAUCCCUCCCCCAGCAGUGUUAGGACAGUGUUUGUACCUGGAUGGAUGUGCUGGGCUGGGCAGACAGGCAGAGUGCAGGUGCAGGUUUUAGCAAGCCUGGAGCUCUGGGAACAGCAGCCAGGAUGAACUCAGCACCUGUCGUAAUCUCCUGGUUUG
rnacentral:lncRNA from 1 species